AGUCUGAGGAUUGGCAGGUGGGAGCCUUCUGAAACUCAAACCUCCUGAAAAUGGAUGAAAGGGAGACUCAUGGUUUCCAUGGCAACAGAGGGCCCCAAACAUAACACCCUCCUUCCCACCUGGGGCAAGCCUGCCCAAAGACAGCCACUAGGCUAAGGUGUGAGGUGCUGGAGCCUCCUAAGUGGUGGCUGGUGACGUCAGUGAGGUGCUGACGGGUGAUUUUUCCUGGAAUUAUUCAGAGUGCAUCCCAUAAAAUAGAAAUUAAUCCGUCAGCUGCAAUGUCUAAAAUAAAAAAACUGGUUCACAGCCACUUUAUUUGGGACAACACCACUGCCAACCAGAAGUGGCCCUCAGCUCCCCCCUCCACUCCCGCCUUGCCCCUGAGGAUGGGGGUGGGGCCCAAUCCGGCUUUCUUUUCAUAGUACCGUGAGCUGUCAGAGCCAGAAGGGCUCGAAGGGACCAGCCAACCCCUCAUAUUGCAGAUGAAGUUUCGUUUGAACCUGGGCUCCAAGAGGGCUUGGCAUACAACAGGAAAGCGUUAACAUUUUCCAGAAGCGGUUGUUGCCUCUCUGCUGAAGGCUACUUUAACAUGAAAAUCCACGACUUGUUUGAAUUAGCUCUCUUACUCUUGGGCGCUGAGAAUGGAAGAGAGGUAAGUCAGAGGGAGGAAGUGAUGUCACAGGGGACCUCUAGUAAAAGCCACUAGACAGAAAGACAGUUGCCACCGGAGCCUACCUUCCAGUAGUCAUUAGCAUGGAAGGAAGAUGCUAGGCGGAGCAGCUGCUGGGGAGUGGUGUUGCGGGGGGCGGGGCAGAAAGUGACCAGGGGCUACUCCAGGAGAGGCACCUGUACAUGCAGCUCAGGAAAUGACUGGAGUCAUUCAGGAGGUGAUGGGAGUCUCUCUGCCUUAUUGGAUACAGACACAGGAUACUACUUAGUGCAUGUGAGGGUACAGGGUACCCCUGGUUCGACUCCCUGUGAUCAAACUGGCCAAACUCACUGGGCCACCGUUCAGAGAACUUAAGCCACUGGAAGACAAAAAAGUUCUCUCAGCCUAAUCCCCAACACCACCCCAACACUGCCUCCUCCACCAGCCAUGCUUUGCAGGGAAAUUGGAAUCAACCACGUGGAGCAUAUAUCUCAGAGGAAGGACUCAAGUUCCCUAGGACCGUAGGCUCUCUCUGAACCCACAGAGACCGUCUCUGCCUGGGUUUCUUUUCCAUGUUCCUGUGGUGUGUGACAGGGGAAAGGGGUGGAGCUGAGAGAGAGGCUAUGCAAGUCUGUUCAGAAACCCAGAGGAAAAAAUUAGUACAGACGAAGUAGGAUAAAAAAAAGUUUCAACGUUUCCAAGAAUACCUAAAUAAUUGCUGCUGUUCCGGCCCCCAGAUUGGAGGUUUAUUUGAGUAAUAAGUCUGGCAUGACUCCCUAUGCCAUGCUUUGGUCCUGGAGGCUAGACGAGCUCUGCAGUGUCUACAAGGGCUAUCCUAAGCGUGUGUGGAAUUCUGGGCAUGCCACUCUGAGCCAAAGGAACACCAAGUUGGGCUCUGGAGCUGAGAAUGUUGGUAGAGGGCUUGCCUAGCGUUCAGGGAGCCCUGGGUUUGAUCUCCAGUGCUGCAUUCACCAGGUAUGGUAACACACGCCUGUAAUACCAGUGCCCUGGAGACACAAGGAUCAGAUAUUCAAAGUCUUAGGGCAUGGGAAGCCAGUCAAGGCUAUGUGAGACUUUGUUUAAAAGGAAAGUUUGACUCUAUGAUGGUGGAUGUUGAUUGUCAAUAACAGGAUCAUCCAGGAGACAGGCCUCCAGACAACCUAUGAAAGGGUAUCUGGAUUUGGUUAGCUUCUGAGCAUGCCUGUGAGAAAUUAUCUUGGCUAGGUUAGUCUCUUCCUAACACAAGCAGCACGUGUGUGAGGAAUUAUCUUGAGUGAGUUAAUUGAGGUAGGAAGACCCACGCUUAAAGUAGACGGUACCUAGAUUUGGGUCCUGCACCAUAUAUAAAGGAGGAAGCCAGCUGGGUGCCAGCAUUCACCUCCCUCUGCUUCCUGACCAUGAGGGCAAUGUGACCAGCAGCCCCCUCAGGCUCCUGCCACCAUGAUGUCAAUACCACAGUGGACUGCACCCUUGACCUGUCGAACCAAAUAAACCCUUUCCCCCAAAGCCACUUUUGUCAGAACAUUUCAUCACAUCAACGGAAAAAAAGUAACUAAGGCAGGCUUUAGUGCAAGGUGGUGAGGGUGAUAUUUCACACUGGAGGGACAUGUCCAUGGACCCACAAGACCAUCAUUUCUGAGCUUCCUGGGUUUGAAUUUUCUACCAUGCAAGUUCGUGACCCACCUUAAUUUCUAAUCAGAAGUUGGUGUAUAUAAAGGGGCAGCACUCUGCCUCACAUUCAAUUCCCCUGGUCUCAGCCAGAGACUGGUUCCUUGUAUCACCCCUAAGUAUUCGUGUUCCCCCACGCUUCAGAGGGAUGUGUUAACUUUGCAUGUGUUCUUGGGUAUUACAAUAGCCACGCUUCUCAACAUAUGACUGACAUCAGCUCCCUUGUAGCUGUGUGUGUGUGUGUGUGUGUGUGUAUGUGUGUGUGUGUGUGUGUGUGUUUUCCCCUGCAGAUCCCAAAGGAGGAGCUAGAUCUUGGACACGGGAUUCUGAUGCUGACUCUGCCGUGAAGUGGUCUUGUGCCUUUGUGCAACAGGACUAACCCCAAUGAGAAGGUUAAGAAUGGAUUCAGCCUGUACAUCCAGACUCUGCAGCUUCCCUUGGUACCUUCUACUGGAUCCUAUGAUGGUGUGCUCCAUUCUACCCGUGUCAAAUAAAGAAAAGAAGGCCAUGGGGAUGAAUGAAUGUGGAACGUCAUCUCUCUGACUCAAGACUGUGGCCCACUAGUACUCUUCUGCCCCCUGGGGACUUCUGCAUAAGGGUUUCGCCAGUGAGCCACACAGACAUGAGUGCUGGUUCAUGAGCUAUCUGUGACAUCCCAUCUCAAGUGUUCGAGCUUCCUGGGAGACUGUUCAUCCCCCACUUCCAGUAACCUUGCGACUCACAUUCUGCACCCAGCCUCUGCCGUCGCUGGAUUCCUGGGCUAGAGCAGCACCCGAGACCAGACACGGGCCAUCUGGUUAAAUGAACAACUCAACCCAGGAAUCACAGGAAGUAAAGCAAGAUCAUGAGGCCGAGGAUGGCUUGUCUAGAGCCACCGUGUGUUUAUCCAAUAAUGCACCAAAGUUUUCCCACUUCCUGGACCAUCGGUGUUUCCACUGGCACACCCUCCUGACUAGCAUCCUCCGGCCACAGCUAUGUCAUACCCACCCCAGGUGGACCAAAUCUUCUGUGUUAUCCCCAAGGAGGUCACACUACUGCUGAGUGAAUCAGAUCUCUGUGGAUGACAGGGGAAUAGGUGGUGAUAGAGUUCCUUGUGUUCCAAUCUGAGAGACCUCACCAUCUAGAUAUACCUUGGCUGCCCUUCCCUUUUGCCUGCCUCCUCUGCCUGACUAUCUCUCUUACUGCUGGACUAUGUUUAUGGCUUGGUUCAAGUCUAGGUCCAUGGGUAGAACUGGAACUGGGGAUCAGUCUGUGACUGAGCUAUGUCCAGGGCCAGAUCCAGAAUGGGGCCCACAGCUAGAUCCAUGUUGUAUCUAUGGCUGUGUGCCAUGGCUGGGUCUGUGCCUAUCUAUGUCUAUGGGUUGGUCCAGAGAAGCUCGAGUCUGAGUACAGCUGGCUCCACGGAUAGGCUUGUGGCUAGAUCUGUGGUUGAUGGCCAGAUGCCCUAUCCCUGUGGCCAUAGUAACCCUAUCUGUCCUUCUAGACAAGUGGCCUCGGAGCCUUGGUCUGGGCUUUCUGCUAUUACUGCAGAUGGGGUGAUGAGCAGAGCCAGAUCUGUUCUGCAGCCCCUGUGACCUCCAACCAGCCUUGGCCCUAAUCUAAGACCUUAGCUUUCCACCUAUGAAAUGAUCAGACAGGGCUGAAAUUGUGACCUACAAGCUGUGUCUUAUGGGCCCCUAAGGUUUUUGUGUAUUUCUUCUGAGGCCUGGCAUGGAUGGUUGACUUUGCAAGCUGAGCGUUAUCCUUAGGUACUUAAGUCUUUUCUAGCCAGAACAAGCUAGCAUGAAUGAAGCCUUCACACAGGAAGACUGAAACAACCUAGGUGUUCCUCUUUAAGGUCUAGUUAAGCACAUGGUAUUACAGCCACAAAGGGACUAUUAUACAGUUGGGAAAAUGAAGAUUCUAAAAGAAUAUAACUGUCUGAUCAAUAUAUAUCCAACAUUUUAUUUGUGCUUUAAUAAUUUCCCAAUGUCUGAAGGGGGAAAAAAGAGAAAUCAAGAUGCUUUCUUAGUGCUAAUAAUGUUUAUACACAAAAU